rnacentral:lncRNA from 1 species
CAAUAACAAUUGUUUAGUUUAAGUACAGUUUAUUUGAAAACAAUAAUAAAAAAUAGGUCACCGAUUAGUUAUAAAAGAAAUUUUAAUUUUAUUGCAAAAAAAGGCAUUUUUGCACCAAAAGGAGAUAAUUUGGAGCUUUUCAAUAUUAGGCCACACCAAUUUGAUUCCUUGUUCGACGGACCCGCCCGCACUUAUUUUUUUCAAAACAGAUUUUUUUUAAUUUUUUUAUAUUCCCGCUUUCCGCAUCCGGAAAUGUAAUCAUGUCCUUUUCCCGCACCGCUUUUUUGUGUAAAUAUAAUAAAAAGAUAUCAACAUUUGUAAAAUCACAGUCUAACCUGUAUAUUACGAUUUUAAACAUAAAAGAACCCCACCACACUGCGUAAAUAUCUGUGAGAAUAUUUUUUUCAGCAUGAAACCUAUUUAUCUAAAGUGGGAGUGCUCCGAAAUAAAUUUAUAAGAACAAAAAUAUUGGUUUCUUUCCCCCUUACUUAUAUUCCCUAUCAAAAAAUGUUCGUUGUUAGGGAGCUACCAUUCGAUUUUUAUGGGGGGGGGGGGGGCUAGGAUGAAAUUUGAAAAAAAUAGGCAGGACAGGAGUUUUGAGUAAAAAAAAGGCAGGAUGAGACACUUGCAAAAAAAAGUCAUGACGACAAUUUUAAAAAAAAGUCAGGAUAAACUAAAAAAAAAAGGCAGGACGGAACAGAGUGAAAAAUAAAAAGGCAGGACAGAGAUUACAGCUAAAAAAAAAAUGCAGGACAAAAUUUUUCAUCCUAGCCU